AUGAGUCUCGUCCCUUCUACCCGCGUCCAUCUUCCUCGACCUUUUCAGUGGAGGAUAUCUCUUUCCUCACUUUUCCCGACACACCUAUCACUCCAGUUGAGCCCUUGUCUCCGUCCUGUUCACUCUACUUCUCCACCUCUUGCCGGUUUGUCGCCACCAUCUCCCACGGUUUCCUCACCUCGCAUGUCCCCGGAUUCUGCACCUUCAUCCCCGGUGAUUUCUUCGUCUCCACCUCCUGAUUCUACCUCGGCUAUUCCUCCUCGUACUCUUCCAUCUUUUCCUCAGUAUUACACUCGUCGUUCACGUAAUGUGGAUGUGUCUGCUGACGUGCCGUCCUCCUCGUCUCAGCCUACCUAUGGCUUGCGUCCUUGUCUGCUUCCGCCUGUCGAUCGCCUUGGUUUUUCAACCGCCGGUGCUGCUGUUCUUUAG
rnacentral:rRNA from 1 species